rnacentral:rRNA from 1 species
AGAGUUUGAUCCUGGCUCAGGAUGAACGCUAGCUACAGGCUUAACACAUGCAAGUCGAGGGGAAACGACAUCGAAAGCUUGCUUUUGAUGGGCGUCGACCGGCGCACGGGUGAGUAACGCGUAUCCAACCUGCCCACCACUUGGGGAUAACCUUGCGAAAGUAAGACUAAUACCCAAUGACGUCUCUAGAAGACAUCUGAAGGAGAUUAAAGAUUUAUCGGUGAUGGAUGGGGAUGCGUCUGAUUAGCUUGUUGGCGGGGUAACGGCCCACAAGGCGACGAUCAGUAGGGGUUCUGGAGAGGAACGGUCCCCCACAUUGGAACUGAGACAUGGUCCAAACUCCGUACGGGAGGCCA